ACAAAAAAAAAAAAAAUUUCUUAUAAAAAAGUUGCAAUUUUUGGAAAUCUUUCAUUCUUAAAUAAAUAAAAAACCGAACUUGAAAUAUAGCAAUAGCUUUAGCAAGCGAUCAGAAUCCUCGUAUGAAGGUCGCCAGUAAUAAGGGUUAGAUAAAGACACCAAAAACCUCAGAGCCUCCGCUUUUCCUCGUCUGCUAAAACCUCUCUUUUCAACUUUUCAAAACAAAAGCCAAAAAAAAAGUUUUUAUCUUUUCCUUUUCACUUCUUUACGCACUCUCUCCCACUCUGCAAUUGUGCGUUUUAAGUAUUGGAAAUUCAAUCUAAAUUGAUUUGAUGGCGGCGAGGGCAGCUGGGAAAUUGUAUAGAAAUUUCAUGCGCCAAAGGGUAAUUUCAACUUCCAUCGGAGCUUCCAGACAUUGCUCUUCCGCUGCUACUUCUGCUCCUAAGAUCCCUCAUUCUUCAAAAAAGGGGAGGUUAUUGACAGGAGCCACCAUAGGCUUAAUUAUAGCAGGAGGAGCUUAUGUUAGUACAGUUGAUGAAGCUACUUUCUGUGGUUGGCUAUUCUCAGCGACAAAACUUGUAAACCCAUUCUUUGCACUUUUGGAUGCUGAGGUUGCUCAUAAACUAGCUGUUUCAGCUGCUGCACAUGGCUGGGUUCCCAGGGAGAAGAGGCCUGAUCCACCUAUUUUGGGAUUAGAAGUUUGGGGAAGGAAGUUUUCAAACCCAAUAGGUCUUUCUGCUGGCUUCGAUAAAAAUGCAGAAGCUGUUGAAGGCUUACUUGGUAUGGGUUUUGGCUUUGUGGAAGUUGGAUCUGUAACCCCUGUUCCACAAGAGGGUAAUCCAAAGCCACAUAUCUUUAGAUUGCGACAAGAAGGUGCUAUCAUCAACUGCUGUGGGUUCAAUAGUGAAGGAAUUGUUGCUGUUGCUAAGCGAUUGGGUGCCCAGCAUGGUAAGAGGAAGUUGGAGACGUCGAGCUCUUCAUCACCCUUGAGUGAAGAAGCCAAACAUGGAGGCAAAGCUGGUCCUGGAAUUCUAGGAGUCAAUCUUGGAAAGAAUAAGACAAGUGAAGAUGCCGCUGCUGAUUAUGUACAAGGAGUUCACACAUUAUCCCAGUAUGCUGAUUACUUGGUUAUUAAUAUUUCAUCACCAAACACUCCUGGAUUGCGUAUGCUUCAGGGAAGGAAACAUUUGAAGGAUCUUGUUAAGAAGGUUCAAGCUGCUCGUGAUGAAAUGCAAUGGGGUGAGGAGGGUCCUCCUCCACUGCUUGUUAAAAUUUCUCCAGACUUGUCUAAAGAAGACCUUGAGGAUAUAGCAGCAGUUGCUGUUGCCCUCCGCUUGGAUGGAUUGAUUAUAUCAAACACAACCAUUUCAAGACCAGAUCCUGUAAAUAAAAAUCCAGUCUCUGCAGAGUCUGGUGGCUUAAGUGGGAAGCCUUUGUUUAAUUUGUCAACCAACAUCUUAAUGGAGAUGUAUCUCCUGACAAGGGUAUGUUGUCUAUUCUAAUAAAAGAUUCUUAUAGAGUAUUAGAGCUGUUGAAUUUUCAUGGUCAUAUCUUCUAUUUCUAAAUAUGGUUUCCCUUUAAUGUCUUGAAAUGGUUAUGUCUUCUACCUUUCUUUUCCAAAAACCCUACAAGCACACUCCUCUACUUCAACCCAGUUUAACAUAUAGAACAUGAAGAAAAGCCAAAAUGGUGUUCGUAAACAAACUGGCUACAUCAGGUUGGAGAAUAUUGCCUCUUGAAAGUACAGAGGUUGCAUGGAGUUUUGUGAGCAAGAGAUAUGUAUUGCUUGUAUUUGGGUAUUGACAUAGAUGUUGGCCUUGUAGCUGCUUGACAUGUAAUUCGGUGCUGGUGUCUGCUGUGUAGGAACUGUCAACUGUAUUAUAUUGCCUUAUUUCAUUAUCUUAUUGUACAUUCCAAGAUGCUUCAAGUUUUUACUCUUGAGGGCAUUAUAAUUUGUGAUUAUGUGUAUUGUCCUGGUGUAUACUUUUAAUUUGGAUGUUAGGAUGAUGGAACUGCUAUGUCCACAAAUGUUUACAGUUUGAUGAUUUCAAAUUUUCAACAGCUAGGUGUGCAGCUGGCCUUAUUAUUGGCUUUCAAUGCUUACUUUCUGUUUGUUAGUGUCUUCUCUAUGCAAAUCUAUAUUCUCAAAUAAAUUUGUAAAGUAUUCAGAUGCUUUACCUGGUCACGGUUUCUGUUUGAAUUCUAUUGAUUGUUUUGCUUGUAAGCUAUGCAUCUUACUUAUAAAGCUAA